GACGAACGCUGGCGGCGUGCCUAAUACAUGCAAGUCGAACGCAGUGGGGACGGGUGAGUGACACGUGGGUAACCUCCCAUCAGAGGGGAUAACACUUGGAAACAGGUGCUAAACCGAUACUGGAGGAUGGACCCGGGGUGCAGUAGCCAGUUGGUGGGGAAAAGGCUCACCAAGGCCACGAUGCAUAGCCGACCUGAUAGGGUGAUCGGCCACACUGGGACUGAGACACGGCCCAGACUCCUACGGGAGGCAGCAGUAGGGAAUCUUGGGCAAUGGAGGAAAGUCUGACCGAGCAACGCCGCGUGAGUGAAGAAGGUUUUCGGAUCGUAAAACUCUGUUGUUAGAGAAGCGGUAUCUAACCAGAAAGCCACGGCUAACUACGUGCCAGCAGCCGCGGUAAUUC
rnacentral:rRNA from 1 species